rnacentral:rRNA from 1 species
UGAUUCAGAUAACGAGCGAGAUUAUCGCCAAUUAAAUACCAGGAUCUGCUUUCAGAGCCAUGGUUCUAAUUGGGACUCCCUGCGUUUCAAGCAGGAGGAAGAGGGUAGCAAUAACAGGUCCGUGAUGUCCUUUAGAUGCUCUGGGCUGCACGCGCGCUACAAUGUUAGGAUCAAUGAGACUUGCUGAGCCGAAAGGUUUUAGCUACUCUCACAAUACCUAACGUAGUUGGGAUUGAGGAUUGUAAUCAUUCUCAUGAACCAGGAAUCCCUUGUAAAUGUGUGUCAACAGCGCACGUUGAAUACGUCCCUGCCCUUUGUACACACCGCCCGUCGCUCCUACCGAUUGGAUGACUCGGUGAAAUUAUCGGAGUGUACGCACAAAGG